UGCACAUCUUUCGAAGGAAAGAAAAGUGUUGCAGAGAUCAGAACAGGUGAGGACACAGAAAGCCCCGAAGAGGAAAUCCUUCUUCUGAGAGACGCCAGGACUGCAGCUGACUGGUGUAGCAGGAGAAGCUGG